rnacentral:antisense_RNA from 1 species
GCGCGCUCCACUUCCCAGGGAAGAUCUACUGCCAGGGCACACCUGCCGGGCCCUGGACGUGCCCCAUCGGUGGCGAAAGAAGGGGCUUCCUGGCCAGUUGGCUCCCCCAGACAGCCGCCAACUCCGAACACUCUGGCCGAGUUUGUCUACUCUUCACCCCACCCCAACUCCAAACGAUGACCUUCAAUCAGACUUCAUCUUCAAAUUUGACGCUGGCCCCUAGCACCAUUCUCUAUAUAGGAAAUAAGGUGUUCAAUGAGUGGAAUUUCAGUGUCCACAAGAAAGCCCAAUACUUACACAUCCAAUUCCCAUUAUCAAAUGCUUGCACAAGAAUCGCAAAUUAAAAUCACCACUUCAUCUACUGGUCAA